rnacentral:rRNA from 1 species
GAGUUUGAUCCUGGCUCAGAUUGAACGCUGGCGGCAUGCCUUACACAUGCAAGUCGAACGGCAGCACGGGAGCUUGCUCCUGGUGGGCGAGUGGCGAACGGGUGAGUAAUGCAUCGGAACGUAUCCUGGAGUGGGGGAUAACGUAGCGAAAGUUACGCUAAUACCGCAUAUUCUGUGAGCAGGAAAAGCGGGGGACCUUCGGGCCUCGCGCUCUUGAAGCGGCCGAUGUCGGAUUAGCUAGUUGGUGAGGUAAAAGGCUCACCAAAGGCGACGAUCCGUAGCAGGUCUGAGAGGAUGAUCUGCCACACUGGAACUGAGACACGGUCCAGACUCCUACGGGAGGCAGCGAGU